UGUGAGGUUCUUUAUUUUCAAAAAAAAAACAUCAAUGUUUUCUUUUAGUUGUGAUAUGCAGGUAAAAAAAAAAUCAAGCAAGAAGUCAGCUCAUGUCCAAUUCAAUCAGACAUUCAUCCUUGAGAACAAAAGGGGAGUAACAGUUUUCUAAUCUUUAUACUUUUCUUCUCUUUCUUUUUUACAUUGAGGAUAAUGAAAAACGU
rnacentral:lncRNA from 1 species